rnacentral:lncRNA from 1 species
AAUAUGCAUAAAAAAAUAAAAUAUUUUUAUUUUUUAGGGAAAAAAAUAGUAAGUUAAUUACAUGGUAAUGAACUUAUCUACAUACAGGUGGUUGGUAUAUAUCCGAUGUCCCAAGUUCGAAUCCUAUUUGAUUCACAUUUUCAGCUAAGUUUAUUUCUAAAUGAAAUAAAUGAAGCGGGUAGCGUACUACCUAUCUCUCAAAAAAAAAAAGAUUGAUAUCCCCCA